CAGCGCCCCAUGUUGUCGCCCCAAGUCAACUACGGUUUCCCCUUCUCCGUGGCUGUGUGGCGGGGAGCCAGUUAGGAUCAUUAGAGCACGAAGGCGAGACCUGCCUUUGUGCUCAGCCGUCGGCCUGGCGCUGGGGCUUUGUCGCGCAUCUGACGCCUGCAGGGCACCCUUAGUCCUCCCAGGGCACACGUCUCAGACCUGUGGGCUCAGCUGCCCUUGGCUUGGCGGCAUCCAGGUCCCACAGUGGGUCAGGGUCAGUGGGUCACAGAGGGCGGCACCCAGUUCCCAAAAUGGGUCACGGUCAGUGGGUCACAGUCAGAGGGCGGCCUCCAGUUCCCACAGUGGGUCACGGUCAGAGGGCGGCACCCAGUUCCCACAGUGGGUCACGGUCAGUGGGUCACGGUCAGAGGGCGGCACCCAGUUCCCAACGUGGGUCACGGUCAGUGGGUCACAGUCAGAGGGCGGCAUCCAGGUCCCGACAGUGGGUUACAAUCAGAGGCCUCGUGUUUGCCUGAAGGGUCGCACACUGUUUGCUGAAGCUAGUCUGGGUCGAGGGGCUGUUUUGUUCGUGGUCCUGGGCUGCCUGUUGAGGCACCACAGCGGGUGUCAUCGGGGACAUGUGGAUGUGUCCUCCUGUGAGAAACAAAGACAUUCCUGCUUCCUGGUCUCAGGCCAACACCUGGGCCCGGAGCCUGGGCCCCCUGCGGCUCCCCAGGGAGGCGGGCUGGCGGGCAGAGGGCGGGACCGCGUGUCCGCAUGCCCACACCACCAGCAUCCGGACGCUGCAGCCGCCUGUGCGCCCUGAGACGUUUGCGGCACGUCCUGGGGUCCGAAGAUACUCAAGUGAUGACCCAUGUGGCUCCUUAGAGGGUUGCCUCCAAAAAGCUGAUUUUAGUCUGUUUUUUUCCUUCCAUUCUAAUCUCUAAUACGUAAUCACCUGCGGUU